rnacentral:rRNA from 1 species
UACGAAGGGGGCUAGCGUUGUUCGGAAUUACUGGGCGUAAAGCGCGUGUAGGCGGGCCGUUAAGUCGGGGGUGAAAGCCCAGAGCUCAACUCUGGAACUGCCUUCGAUACUGGCGGCCUGGAGCAUGAUAGAGGCGAGUGGAAUUGCGAGUGUAGAGGUGAAAUUCGUAGAUAUUCGCAGGAACACCAGUUGCGAAGGCGACUCGCUGGAUCAUUGCUUACGCUGAGACGCGGAAGCGUGGGCAGCAAACAGG